rnacentral:rRNA from 1 species
AAACUAACAAGGAUCCCUAGUAGCGGCGAGCGACGCGGAAGAGCUCAAAUUUGUAAUCUGGCGUGCUCAGUGCGUCCGAGUUGUAAUCUAUAGAAACGUUUUCCGUGCCGGACCGUGUCCAAGUCCCUUGGAACAGGGUAUCAAAGAGGGUGACAAUCCCGUACUUGACACGACGACCGGUGCUCUGUGAUACGUUUUCUACGAGUCGAGUUGUUUGGGGAAUGCAGCUCAAAAUGGGGUGGUAAAUUCCAUCUAAAGCUAAAUAUAGGCGAGAGACCGAUAGCGGAACAAGUACGUGAGGGAAAGAUGAAAAGCACUUUUGGAAAGAGAGUUAAACAGUAUGUGAAAUUGUUGAAAGGGAAACGAUUGAAGUCAGUCAUGUUCAUUGGAUUCAGCUGGUUCUGCCAGUGUAUUUCCUUUGAACGGGUCAACAUCAGUUUGAGCCGGCGGAUAAUGGCAGAGGGAAUGUGGCACCUCCGGGUGUGUUAUAGCCCUUUGUCGCAUACGUCGGCCCAGACUGAGGAAUGCAGCUCGCCUUUAUGGCCGGGUUCGCCCACGUACGAGCUUAGGAUGUUGCAUAAUGCUUUAAACGAC